UACGAAGGUCCCAAGCGUUGUUCGGAAUCACUGGGCGUAAAAGGGUGCGUAGGCGGCGUGGUAAGUCAGAUGUGAAAUCCCGGGGCUCAACCCCGGAACUGCAUCCGAUACUGCCAUGCUUGAGGACUGGAGAGGUGACUGGAAUUCUCGGUGUAGCAGUGAAAUGCGUAGAGAUCGAGAGGAACACUCGUGGCGAAAGCGAGUCACU
rnacentral:rRNA from 1 species